rnacentral:rRNA from 1 species
GACGAACGCUGGCGGCGUGCUUAACACAUGCAAGUCGAACGGAGUGGCGAACGGGUGAGUAUUACGUGGGUAACCUGCCCUCAACUGUGGGAUAAGCCUGGGAAACUGGGUCUAAUACUGCAUAGCUGGGGAUGGGCUCGCGGCCUAUCAGCUUGUUGGUGGGGUGAUGGCCUACCGAGGCGGUGACGGGUGGCCGGCCUGAGAGGGUGGACGGCAACAUGGGGACGGACAUACGGCCCAGGCUCGUACGGGGGGGAGCAGUGGGGGAUAUUGGAGAAUGGGCGAAGGACUGAUGCAGCGUCGGCGCGUGAGGGAUGAAGGCUUUCGGGUUGUAAACCUCUUGCGGAACAGAGCGGGUAGGUGGAGAAGAAGCGCCGGCUAACUACGUGCCAGCAGCCGCGGUAAUAC